UACGUAGGGUCCGAGCGUUGUCCGGAAUUACUGGGCGUAAAGAGCUCGUAGGUGGUUUGUCGCGUUGUUCGUGAAAACUCACAGCUCAACUGUGGGCGUGCGGGCGAUACGGGCAGACUAGAGUACUGCAGGGGAGACUGGAAUUCCUGGUGUAGCGGUGGAAUGCGCAGAUAUCAGGAGGAACACCGGUGGCGAAGGCGGGUCUCUGGUUCGAUACUGACGCUGAGGCGCGAAAGCGUGGGGAGCAAACAGG
rnacentral:rRNA from 1 species